AGUAGGUUGGCAGAUAAAUGCUAUUGAUUUAGGAUCAUUAAAUGAAUUAUAUUCACCUAUUA
rnacentral:tRNA from 1 species